rnacentral:lncRNA from 1 species
AUGGAAACAGAAGAAAGUUAAUUUUAAGUAAAUCAUGUUCUAAAAUAUUUUUAAUACAAUCAAAUAUUAUUUUUGAAAUAUAGUCAAACAUCUAAAAUUUUAUUUUUAAAUUUAAAAUCACUUUUGAUGGGUACAAAAGUACUCCCAAACACUAUCAACGGAGCAGCAUGCGGCUCCUAAUGGUUAUAAGCCUUAUUGGCCACCUGGAAACGAAGAAAACCGACAAUUUAGCAGC